rnacentral:rRNA from 1 species
CCUACGGGUGACUGCAGUGGGGAAUAUUGCACAAUGGGGGAAACCCUGACGCAGCGACGCCGCGUGAGUGAAGAAGUUUUUCGGUACGUAAAGCUCUGUCAGCAGGGAAGAAAAUUACGUUACCUGACCAGCAAUGCCUGGCCAACUCCGGGCCAGCAGCCGCGGUCAUACGGAGGGGGCAAGCGUUCUCCGGAUUUACUGGGUGUAAAGGGAGUGUAGAUGGCAGGGCAAGUCAGGCGUGAAAGGCGGGGGCUCAACCCCCGGACUGCUCUUGAAACUGCCAGGCUGGAGUGCGUGAGAGGUUAGUGGAAUUCCUGGUGUAGCAGUGAAAUGCGUAGAUAUUAGGAGGAACACCAGUGGCGAAGGCGACUAACUGGACUGUAACUGACGUUGAGGCUCGAGAGCGUGGGGAGCAAACAGGAUUAGAUACCCUGGUAGUC